rnacentral:rRNA from 1 species
AGAAUCAACGCUGGCGGCGUGCCUAACACAUGCAAGUCGAACGAGAAAGUCCGCAAGGAUGAGUAAAGUGGCGACCGGGUGAGUAACACGUGACUAACCUACCUUUUAGUGGGGGAUAACUCCGGGAAACCGGGGCUAAUACCGCAUAACAUCGCAAGAUCAAAGCAGCAAUGCGCUGGAAGAGGGGGUCGCGGCUGAUUAGCUAGUUGGCGGGGUAAUGGCCCACCAAGGCGAAGAUCGGUAUCCGGCCUGAGAGGGCGCACGGACACACUGGAACUGAAACACGGUCCAGACUCCUACGGGAGGCAGCAGUGGGGAAUUUUGCGCAAUGGGGGAAACCCUGACGCAGCAACGCCGCGUGGAGGAUGAAGUCCCUUGGGACGUAACUCCUUUCGACCAAGACGAUAAUGACGGUACUGGUGGAAGAAGCACCGGCUAACUCUGCGCCAGCAGCCGC